rnacentral:lncRNA from 1 species
GUGUGGGUCUCGCUCGUACCCGGACUCCUGCUGACGUCCUGUCUUGAACUGAAUAACCUGUCAACACAUGAGAAUCAUUUGCAGUGACUGGGGAGCACUGUGAUUUAGGAGCAGGGGAGGGAUUCUUGGCGAGACCGGAAAACUGCCACUCCAUGGUUCAUUUUGGAGCUGCCACUCAGCCAGACCAAAUGGGAAACUUCCUGCUUAGAAACAAUCGGGACAUUAAUGCUCAGAUGAGUGAAGACACACAUGUCUCCACUAAUAUCCCAGGGAAGAAGCCUGUCUCAUAG